rnacentral:lncRNA from 1 species
ACAAGUACAAAUCUCCUCCCCCGCCGGUUUACAAGUACAAGUCACCACCGCCACCGGUGUACAAGUCGCCUCCUCCACCAACAAAGCCAUACAAGUACAAGUCUCCACCACCACCAGUCUAUAAGUCACCACCGCCACCGGUUUACAAGUAAAAACCCCCCCCGCCACCGGUGUACAAGUAUAAGUCACCGCCGCCUCCAGUCUACAAGUCUCCUCCGCCACCAGUUUACAAGUACAAAUCACCGCCGCCGCCAGUCUAUAAGUCACCACCGCCUCCAAUGAAGCCAUACAAGUACAAGUCACCACCACCGCCGCCGGUUUACAAGUCUCCUCCUCCGCCGGUGUACAAGUACAAAUCACCGCCGCCGCCAGUCUAUAAGUCACCACCGCCUCCAAUGAAGCCAUACAAGUACAAGUCACCACCACCGCCGCCAGUCUAUAAGUCUCCUCCACCACCGGUGUACAAGUACAAAUCACCACCGCCACCGGUUUACAAGUACAAGUCACCGCCGCCGCCGGUGCACAAACCACCUCCACAUUACAUCUCUGCGUCACCCCCUCCACCAUACCACGUCUAGAUGAGUCAACCCCCCAAGGUAAUACUACUAAUCAACAACUCAUAUCCAAUCACUGAAUAAGGGGCCGUUUGACAUAGAGAAAAUAUAUUUGUAUUUGUGGGAAAAUUAUUUAUUUUGAAAUUAACAUAUUUGCAUUAGUGACAAAUAUCACAAAUAUUUUUAGUUAUCAUUGGUUUAUCUUAUUCUGAAAAACAAUAACGUAAUUCUAAUUUCCUCAAAUAAAAAAUUUAGUUCUAUUAUUUAUGAAAUAUACAUAUCAAACAUUAUAGCCUAGCAAGUUUUUAUUAAUUAAUAAUACUGACCCCUCUCUCAACAACUCGAGCUAUUGGAGAUACGAUGAUCGAUUUUGGACAUGGUAUCAUAGAUUUAAAAAACCAAGAGGUCUCCUUUUCAAAUCCCGACAGUCUCCAUUCCGUACAUAUGACUUAUCGUGUGAACCUCAUUUCUUCUUAAAACUUCUGUCUGAAGGGCAUAUUAAUGAAUACUAUAUACAAAAUUGAUCUGAACCUUCCCCCAACAACUUACAAUGCAACGAUUCAUGACAAUUUUCUCGAUUUAGUACUCGAUACUCGGUACGAAACGGUGCCUUAAUUACUAACUUGUGUCUUGGUCCU